rnacentral:rRNA from 1 species
GUGUGACUGCGUACCUUUUGUAUAAUGGGUCAGCGACUUAUAUUCUGUAGCAAGGUUAACCGAAUAGGGGAGCCGAAGGGAAACCGAGUCUUAACUGGGCGUUAAGUUGCAGGGUAUAGACCCGAAACCCGGUGAUCUAGCCAUGGGCAGGUUGAAGGUUGGGUAACACUAACUGGAGGACCGAACCGACUAAUGUUGAAAAAUUAGCGGAUGACUUGUGGCUGGGGGUGAAAGGCCAAUCAAACCGGGAGAUAGCUGGUUCUCCCCGAAAGCUAUUUAGGUAGCGCCUCGUGAAUUCAUCUCCGGGGGUAGAGCACUGUUUCGGCAAGGGGGUCAUCCCGACUUACCAACCCGAUGCAAACUGCGAAUACCGGAGAAUGUUAUCACGGGAGACACACGGCGGGUGCUAACGUCCGUCGUGAAGAGGGAAACAACCCAGACCGCCAGCUAAGGUCCCAAAGUCAUGGUUAAGUGGGAAACGAUGUGGGAAGGCCCAGACAGCCAGGAUGUUGGCUUAGAAGCAGCCAUCAUUUAAAGAAAGCGUAAUAGCUCACUGGUCGAGUCGGCCUGCGCGGAAGAUGUAACGGGGCUAAACCAUGCACCGAAGCUGCGGCAGCGACGCUUAUGCGUUGUUGGGUAGGGGAGCGUUCUGUAAGCCUGCGAAGGUGUGCUGUGAGGCAUGCUGGAGGUAUCAGAAGUGCGAAUGCUGACAUAAGUAACGAUAAAGCGGGUGAAAAGCCCGCUCGCCGGAAGACCAAGGGUUCCUGUCCAACGUUAAUCGGGGCAGGGUGAGUCGACCCCUAAGGCGAGGCCGAAAGGCGUAGUCGAUGGGAAACAGGUUAAUAUUCCUGUACUUGGUGUUACUGCGAAGGGGGGACGGAGAAGGCUAUGUUGGCCGGGCGACGGUUGUCCCGGUUUAAGCGUGUAGGCUGGUUUUCCAGGCAAAUCCGGAAAAUCAAGGCUGAGGCGUGAUGACGAGGCACUACGGUGCUGAAGCAACAAAUGCCCUGCUUCCAGGAAAAGCCUCUAAGCAUCAGGUAACAUCAAAUCGUACCCCAAACCGACACAGGUGGUCAGGUAGAGAAUACCAAGGCGCUUGAGAGAACUCGGGUGAAGGAACUAGGCAAAAUGGUGCCGUAACUUCGGGAGAAGGCACGCUGAUAUGUAGGUGAAGUCCCUCGCGGAUGGAGCUGAAAUCAGUCGAAGAUACCAGCUGGCUGCAACUGUUUAUUAAAAACACAGCACUGUGCAAACACGAAAGUGGACGUAUACGGUGUGACGCCUGCCCGGUGCCGGAAGGUUAAUUGAUGGGGUUAGCGCAAGCGAAGCUCUUGAUCGAAGCCCCGGUAAACGGCGGCCGUAACUAUAACGGUCCUAAGGUAGCGAAAUUCCUUGUCGGGUAAGUUCCGACCUGCACGAAUGGCGUAAUGAUGGCCAGGCUGUCUCCACCCGAGACUCAGUGAAAUUGAACUCGCUGUGAAGAUGCAGUGUACCCGCGGCAAGACGGAAAGACCCCGUGAACCUUUACUAUAGCUUGACACUGAACAUUGAGCCUUGAUGUGUAGGAUAGGUGGGAGGCUUUGAAGUGUGGACGCCAGUCUGCAUGGAGCCGACCUUGAAAUACCACCCUUUAAUGUUUGAUGUUCUAACGUUGACCCGUAAUCCGGGUUGCGGACAGUGUCUGGUGGGUAGUUUGACUGGGGCGGUCUCCUCCUAAAGAGUAACGGAGGAGCACGAAGGUUGGCUAAUCCUGGUCGGACAUCAGGAGGUUAGUGCAAUGGCAUAAGCCAGCUUGACUGCGAGCGUGACGGCGCGAGCAGGUGCGAAAGCAGGUCAUAGUGAUCCGGUGGUUCUGAAUGGAAGGGCCAUCGCUCAACGGAUAAAAGGUACUCCGGGGAUAACAGGCUGAUACCGCCCAAGAGUUCAUAUCGACGGCGGUGUUUGGCACCUCGAUGUCGGCUCAUCACAUCCUGGGGCUGAAGUAGGUCCCAAGGGUAUGGCUGUUCGCCAUUUAAAGUGGUACGCGAGCUGGGUUUAGAACGUCGUGAGACAGUUCGGUCCCUAUCUGCCGUGGGCGCUGGAGAAUUGAGGGGGGCUGCUCCUAGUACGAGAGGACCGGAGUGGACGCAUCACUGGUGUUCGGGUUGUCAUGCCAAUGGCACUGCCCGGUAGCUAAAUGCGGAAGAGAUAAGUGCUGAAAGCAUCUAAGCACGAAACUUGCCCCGAGAUGAGUUCUCCCUGACUCCUUGAGAGUCCUGAAGGAACGUUGAAGACGACGACGUUGAUAGGCCGGGUGUGUAAGCGCAGCGAUGCGUUGAGCUAACCGGUACUAAUGAACCGUGAGGCUUAACCUU